AUACGGAAGGUCCGGGCGUUAUCCGGAUUUAUUGGGUUUAAAGGGAGCGCAGGCGGCACUUCAAGCGUGACGUUAAAUUUCGGGGCUCACCCCCGUUGUGCGUCGCGAACUGUUGUGCUUGAGUAGGCGGCAGGGAGGCGGAAUUCGCGGUGUAGCGGUGAAAUGCUUAGGUAUCGCGAGGAACUCCGAUAGGGCAGGCAGCCUCCCGUUGCUUUACUGACGCUCAUGCUCGAAGGUGCGGGUAUCGAACAGGAUUAGAUACCCUGGUAGUCCGCACUGUAAACGAUGGAUGCCCGCUGUUGGGCCUUUUGGGUUCAGUGGCCAAGAGAAAUCGUUAAGCAUCCCACCUGGGGAGUACGCCGGCAACGGUGAAACUCAAAGGAAUUGACGGGG
rnacentral:rRNA from 1 species